rnacentral:lncRNA from 1 species
UUUGCCACACACUGUGCUAAUUGCGUUAUGUAUGUUACCUUGUUGAUAGCAACUAUGUAGAGCAAAAUUUGUAAACAUUGAUAAUAUUGUGCCAUUUACCUUAACCAUAGCAACAUAAAAGACAAUAUGUUGAGUUUCUAUUUGAAUAUAGAAAUGUAAUCUAUGCUAUCUUAAGUCUUUUUCCUGGGGCAAUAAAUCUUUGGCUUUUUUGAGAACUCGUCUAAAAAAAUAGUACUAGGAUUUUACCCUGCAGGAGUCUAUUGUUCGUACAUGUUAAGAAAAUCUCAGACCUACUACCCACAUCUUGCCUUUCCUGCCUAAGAUCUCUUUUUCUAUCUUCAUGUGUCAUGGUUUAAUACCUACCUAGAUAGGCAGUAAUCUCAACUUCUCAUAAAAUUUUUUAUUCUGUAAUAUAGAUAAUACUAGGCUUUGUAUUAAUUUUAUUUAUUCAGUGCCUUAAGAUUUUAGGAACUAGUUUAUACAUAGAUAUCAACAAAAGUAAAUUUUAAAAAAUUAAGAGGGGAAGAUAAUUUGUUACAUAGAUUCCAUGUUCUUACAUAAAAAUUCAAAAUUAGCAAACAUAAAUUUCUCUGGCUUUAAUACUUAUGUCUCAUUUAACUUGAGUACUUCCUAAUUUGUAAAGAAAAUGGUUAAUUUCUUCUUGUUCUACCUUUGUUUUUCUGCUUAACUGUAAUAACUUGUAAUAUCUAUUCUUCAUUUUUUAAUGUAUUCAGUGAAAAAGUUUUUGUUUCAUUUUGUUUGAAAGUAAUAUGCUUCCCUAUAGGAAUGUAAAUGCAAAAAUAUUUUCUUCAGAUGUUCCUGCCUUUCCUGGCACAGUUGAGCAUGCUCACCAUGCUCAACCGAGUUACUUCUAUAUCUUAAGUAGGUAUCUAUUGUUAUUCUUAUAAUUUACUUUCAGAAUGUACUUGCUUAAAUGUCUAGUUCUUAGAUUAGGUUGACUCUUGAACAGAGAUAAUAAUACAUAUAUAUUUGUUUCUCCAGUUCCCAACAAAAUUAUUGGCACAUAGCAGGUGCUAAUUGAGUAUUUAAAUGACUCUUUAAUCAAAUUAAUGUUUAUCUGCCAUAUGUUAUAAUUAGAUUUGUUUUCAGCAUUCUCAUAAAUGUACAUAGCUGACAUUCUUUGUAUAUUUUUAUUCAUAGAAAUAGUUUAUCAUGAUCACUGCUCCUUCUAUUUUAUCCAAUCAUAUAAGUAACCUAUGUUGAUAGGAAGGGUCAGGACAGGCAUGAUUGGAAGAGUCUUAUGUACCAUGAUUGGGAUGACCAACCUUCAUGCAGAUACAACAACUUAUGAAUUGAUAAAUUUUUUAAUGAUUUGUAAUACCAUUCAAAGUGAGAAGACCUCCCUUCAACCGUACUUUAUAAUUUCAUACUUUUGCAUUAUUUAUUGUGCAUAUGCUAAAUCAACAAAAUGACAGAGCCUAAAAAUUAUGGUAUAUUUAAUUAGACACAGCACUGCUAGUGCUCUUACACAUUUGGUGGGACAGAAUGAUGUUUUGUAGGCAGAGUUUAUCAAAACCUUAGUAGAAUUUGUGUGCGAUA